UGGAGGUCAUGGAUCGCCUGGUGGAUGCUUUGCGGGGAGGCAUUGGGUGAAGAUCUAGUAGAAGAAGGAGAAGAGGAUGCCGGAGAAGAUGAUCGGAAUCAGUCCCAUUGAGCACUCCUUUAAGAACAAGAGUACUGCAAAGACACACGCCCUUCCUCUAGCACCAAUUCUGUUGGUGCAGAAUUUCAUCGAAGUCGGAGAAGCUAGAGCCGGGAUGACCGCGGCCGCCGUCGAGACCUG
rnacentral:lncRNA from 1 species